UAGUAAAAUGUGUGCAUUGUUUUAGAGGCUGGAUUGUGAAACUAACCAUGUAUCUUGCAAAUCAACAAACAGAAAGAAGAAGCCUUGGUGGUUGUCUCAGAUAUUAACCAUACAGAUUUUAGUAAUGGGGUGUCUAUGUUUAAUUUUUAAUUUAUUUAGCCACAAUAUCUAGUCUAACUUAAGGCUUACAAAAUGCAAAUAUUGAAAAAUUCUUUAAAACUGAACACAUACACAGACAUUUGACUUCCAGCUUGGUAUGUUUCAUCUGCUUCAUCUCCUUUUGCAGGGUGUUAACUUCUGGGAAUAAACUGCUCUCAGCUUUAAAAAUGAACCCUUAGCCCAUGUGUUCAUGAAAUGGAUUGAGCUCAUUGUGGCACUGAUUUACUGUAACUAGAUGCAAGAUUGAUGCAUCCAGGAGAAACCAUUCCACAUAUCUCAUCUGUCUCUGGAACUGCCCCUUUAAUCUCUUUACUAGAUUUGAUUCUUCUCUAACAAACCAGCAGAUACCUCUAGAGCAGGUGUAUCCCUCAUUAUAAAUUUGCAAUUUAAAACCAAUGAGAAACAGGAGUGCCUGGCUGUAGAGAAAGUUCUUCCCUUGCAAGCCCCAUCCUACACCACGUGAGUGAAGGCUGCAGAAGUUUGGGAAACUGGAAUUGGACCAUCAGAAUGAAAAUCUGAUCAGAAGGAAAUUCUACCAGGAAAGAUCAAGAGUCCAUUUCUUCAGACAUGCAAAGGCUAGGAGAAACUCCAUUAACAGGAUUUGCUCCUGCUCUGCUGUAGUUACAGCCCUAAGAGAGGACUGGACUUUCCACUCUCACCAACUGAGCUAUAGAGGUAACACUUCAUCCUGCAGUCCUGUCUUUGAGUUGUCAACAUUCUUCUUUGGCUUUAAUGGUGACAUAAUGGGCUAACUAGGGCUUGGGCAGAUACUGCAUUUCUAAGGGGGGCACCAGAAUAGGACUGCAACUGCUGUGAUCACUCACCAGCAUGCCAGGCGUGGACUGCCCUUCUUGGCAAGGGGCUUUCUCUCCUGUCCCCCACUGCCCCAAUAUUCCCAGCUCCCCAACCCCUGGAUAGAGAGAGUUGUCAGCCUUUCUCUUAGCUACACCUCAGUCUCCUUUUGCCUCCCGCUCCUGCCUGUCAUGGUCCAAGGUUUCUGGGUACACAACUACAGUUUGUAAAUAUGGCUAAGCUUUCUGACACCUCUCAUGGGAGUUUUAUGUUGUUUAUCAGUAAUUUCUGAUUACACCUAAAGAUUGGAAAACAGGUAUCCAGUCAAAAUGUUUUUACUUAGUGUGUUUUGCCUUCUGAGAUACUUUAUCCUUGCUUUUAUUCCUAUUACAUUUCCACAGUUUUCUGGCAGGUCUGUUUUCUGAGUGCAUGAAUCUUACCUAUCAGAUUGCACUGGAGAAGAAAACAUUUAUUUUAAAAUGUUUAUGGGAAUAAAAUAAUAAUGCUAUUAUCUACACUCUUGAUUACCAGGAUUAUCUCAUAUAUAUACAGAUCCUCCAGAUAGGCAGAUUAAGUGAUCAGCAGGUUCUUAGUGGGCCCCAGGCUCAGAGUGUACACUAAAGAGGAUCAAGCCUGCUUAAAUUCAUGUGCUGCUUUGCUAAUGCCCCUGCUCUUUCUCAGGAGAAUUUCUGAAAUAUGUUAUCUGGGUCCCAGUGAGUUGGGUAGACAGUCUUUGGUUUUGAUGGACAAUAAACUGGGGCUGACUUGGAGCAAU